GAUUUACUGCAUCAGUGCAGCGUGGCAUGGAGGCGACCAACCUGUGGCUCGGCGGAUUGAUUCCCAUGUUGCAACUUCAGCACGUCUCCAUUAUUUGCUCUGGUCAUUUUCACCUUUCACAUCAAGUUACACCAUAGAUUCUCCAAGUCAUCACUUACAGUGGAAACCUCUCACUGGACCUCAAGCAACUUAAUGCCUCUCCAGGUUUCCUCCAGGGACCUUAAUUUGCAAAUGAAAUACAAAAUUAACAUCAAUCUGAAAACAGUGCCUUGGAACACUGAGCUAAAGGUUUUCUUCAGGAAGGGCAGGGCUGAACUGUAUGCUUAUGGAGCACCUGCAUCUCAACCGCCUACUCAGCUGAAGCAUUACUCAAGCUGCCUGCUGCUGUCAUUUGACACCUGAGUGUUAACCAUUGGGGUGAAAUCUCAAGCUUUCUUCUGGAGAUUUCUCUUCGUGAGACUCUCUGGAGUGAUAACUCGGACCUCCUCAUGCUGUUACCUUCCUGGACAAACUGAAUUUAAAGACUGUCAGCUAGCAGCACCCUGGUUUCUCCAAGCCCUUACUUGUCCACCCUUCAACGCUCACUGGAAGAUCUACGUUCCACAAUUUUAUGAGUUCUCCUCUCCCUUGCAGACAUCAGCCCGAUGAAGUUAAAGAAACACCCCGGACCAGAACUCGCAUUAUACAUUUGUUAUCAAACUUCUUAACCUUUCAUUGAAUUUACUAAGUGUAUUUUGCAUACGGAUCAGACAACUGCCUUAAAAUGACACCAGCAGUAUGAGGUGCCAUCAGACUUGAAUGGCUUUGGGUUGAGUGGACAGGAAAGAGAAACGUAAUACAUAGAGACAAAAAGGGGGGGAAGGUUGUUUUAUUAAAACGUGGUUUAAUCCUAAUCAGAGCCAAAAAUAUCUGUUUACAAUUUAGCGCCUUGCCAGAAGCAGCAACGAUAUCUGUUAUUACAUUAUAUUUAAACUAAUUUUUUAAGGGUAAGGUCAUAGUUACUUUCUUGCUACUGAUAAAUCUGUUUUACCAUCUGAAUAACCAUUAGAAUUUGCAGUUUGCACACCAGCGUUUUGUUUGGUAUCGUUCUGAAUUCUUAAACAAAAGGACCAAAUGGCAUUGAAGUUCACUAUUUAAAAUAUACAAUCAUUAGUACAAAAUA